rnacentral:rRNA from 1 species
UACGUAGGGGGCUAGCGUUGUCCGGAAUCAUUGGGCGUAAAGAGCGUGUGGGCGGCCCGGUAAGUCCGCUGUAAAAGUCAAAGGCUCAACCUUUGAAUGUCAGUGGAUACUGCCGGGCUAGAGUCCGGAAGAGGCGAGUGGAACUCCUGGUGUAGCGGUGGAAUGCGCAGAUAUCAGGAAGAACACCAACGGCGAAGGCAGCUCGCUGGGACGGUACUGACGCUGAGACGCGAAAGCGUGGGGAGCAAACAGG